rnacentral:rRNA from 1 species
AUUGAACGCUGGCGGCAGGCCUAACACAUGCAAGUCGAGCGGAGCGGCGGACGGGGGAGUAAUGCCUAGGAAUCUGCAUGGGAGUGGGGGAUAACGUCCGGAAACGGGAGCGAAUACCGCAUACUAUCGGAUGCGGCUAGGUCGGAUUAGCAAGUAGGUGGGGUAAAGGCCUACCAAGGCGACGAUCCGUAACUGGUCUGAGAGGAUGAUCAGUCACACUGGAACUGAGACACGGUCCAGACUCCUACGGGAGGCAGCAGUGGGGAAUAUUGGACAAUGGGCGAAAGCCUGAUCCAGCCAUGCCGCGUGUGUGAAGAAGGUCUUCGGAUUGUAAAGUACUUUAAGCGGGGAGGCGUUACCAACAGAAUAAGCACCGGCUAACUUCGUGCCAGCAGCCGCGGUAAUAC